GAUGAACGCUGGCGGCGUGCCUAAUACAUGCAAGUCGAACGCUUCACUUCGGUGAAGAGUGGCGAACGGGUGAGUAAUACAUAAGUAACCUGGCAUCUACAGGGGGAUAACUGAUGGAAACGUCAGCUAGGACCGCAUAGGUGUAGAGAUCGCAUGAACUCUAUAUGAAAAGUGCUACGGGACUGGUAGAUGAUGGACUUAUGGCGCAUUAGCUGGUUGGUAGGGUAACGGCCUACCAAGGCGACGAUGCGUAGCCGACCUGAGAGGGUGACCGGCCACACUGGGACUGAGACACGGCCCAGACUCCUACGGGAGGCAGCAGUAGGGAAUUUUCGGCAAUGGGGGAAACCCUGACCGAGCAACGCCGCGUGAAGGAAGAAGUAAUUCGUUAUGUAAACUUCUGUCAUAGAGGAAGAACGGUGGAUAUAGGGAAUGAUAUCCAAGUGA
rnacentral:rRNA from 1 species